rnacentral:rRNA from 1 species
UACAGAGGUCUCAAGCGUUGUUCGGAUUCAUUGGGCGUAAAGGGUGUGUAGGUGGCGCGCUAAGUCGGGUGUGAAAUCCCGGGGCUUAACUCCGGAACUGCAUUCCAUACUGCGGUGCUUGAGGACUGGAGAGGAGACUGGAAUUUACGGUGUAGCAGUGAAAUGCGUAGAGAUCGUAAGGAAGACCAGUGGCGAAGGCGGGUCUCUGGACAGUUCCUGACACUGAGGCACGAAGGCCAGGGGAGCAAACGGG